AACGAACGCUGGCGGCAUGCCUAACACAUGCAAGUCGAACGGGUACCUUCGGGUGCUAGUGGCGCACGGGUGCGUAACGCGUGGGAAUCUGCCCGUGGGUUCGGAAUAACUCAGCGUAAGCUGUGCUAAUACCGGAUGAUGUCGAAAGACCAAAGAUUUAUCGCCCGAGGAUGAGCCCGCGUUGGAUUAGCUAGUUGGUGGGGUAAAGGCCUACCAAGGCGACGAUCCAUAGCUGGUCUGAGAGGAUGUUCAGCCACACUGGGACUGAGGCACGGCCCAGACUCCUACGGGAGGCAGCAGUGGGGAAUAUUGGACCAUGGGCGAAAGCCUGAUCCAGCAAUGCCGCGUGAGUGAUGAAGGCCUUAGGGUUGUAAAGCUCUUUUACCCGGGAUGAUAAUGACAGUACCGGGAGAAUAAGCUCCGGCUAACUCCGUG
rnacentral:rRNA from 1 species